rnacentral:rRNA from 1 species
UACGGGGGGGCAAGCGUUGUUCGGAAUUACUGGGCGUAAAGGGCGCGUAGGCGGCCUGCUAAGUCGGAUGUGAAAUCCCUCGGCUCAACCGAGGAACUGCAUCCGAUACUGGCGGGCUUGAAUCCGGGAGAGGGAUGUGGAAUUCCAGGUGUAGCGGUGAAAUGCGCAGAUAUCAGGAGGAACACCAAUGGCAAAAGGCAGCACUCUGGGACGGUACUGACGCUGAGACGCGAAAGCGUGGGGAGCAAACAGG